rnacentral:rRNA from 1 species
UUCCCCUAGUAACUGCGAGUGAAGCGGGAAAAGCUCAAAUUUAAAAUCUGGUAGUCUUUGACUAUCCGAGUUGUAACCUAGAGAAGCGUUAUCCGCGUUGGACCGUGUAUAAGUCUCCUGGAAUGGAGCGUCAUAGAGGGUGAGAAUCCCGUCUUUGACACGGACUACCAGGGCUUUGUGAUGCGCUCUCGAAGAGUCGAGUUGUUUGGGAAUGCAGCUCUAAAUGGGUGGUAAGUUCCAUCUAAAGCUAAAUAUUGGCGAGAGACCGAUAGCGAACAAGUACCGUGAGGGAAAGAUGAAAAGAACUUUGGAAAGAGAGUUAAACAGUACGUGAAAUUGUUGAAAGGGAAACGCUUAAAGUCAGUCGCAUUGACUUGGGAUCAACCUUGCUUCUGCUUGGUUUACUUCCUUGUUGAUGGGUCAGCAUCAAUUUUGACCANNNNAAAAAGUUCGAGGGAAUGUGGCAUCUCAGGAUGUGUUAUAGCCUUUGUUCGCAUGCAUUGGUUGGGAUUGAGGAACUCAGCACGCCGUAAGGCCGGGUUUUUAACCACGUUCGUGCUUAGGAUGCUGGCAUAAUGGCUUUAAUCGACCCGUCUUGAAACACGGACCAAGGAGUCUAACAUACCUGCGAGUGUUUGGGUGGAAAACCCGAGCGCGUAAUGAAAGUGAAAGUUGGGGAUCUCUGUCGUGGGGAGCACCGACGCCCGGACCAGACCUUCUGUGACGGAUCCGCGGUAGAGCAUGUAUGUUGGGGACCCGAAAGAUGGUGGGAACUAUGCCUGAA